GCGCCCUUAGCUCAGUUGGUAGAGCAGUUGACUUUUAAUCAAUUGGUCGCAGGUUCGAAUCCUGCAGGGCGCGCCA
rnacentral:tRNA from 2 species